GGUUAAGCGACUAAGCGUACACGGUGGAUGCCCUGGCAGUCAGAGGCGAUGAAGGGCGUGCUAAUCUGCGAUAAGCGUCGGUAAGGUGAUAUGAACCGUUAUACCCGACGAUACCCGAAUGGGGAAACCCAGUGUGCUCCGGCACAUUAUCAUGUCAUGAAUACAUAGUGGCAUGAGGCGAACCGGGGGAACUGAAACAUCUAAGUACCCCGAGGAAAAGAAAUCAACCGAGAUUCCCCCAGUAGCGGCGAGCGAACGGGGAGGAGCCCGGAGUCUGAAUCAGCAUGUGUGUUAGUGGAAGCGUCUGGAAAGUCGCGCGAUACAGGGUGAAAGUCCCGUACACAAAAG
rnacentral:ncRNA from 1 species